rnacentral:rRNA from 1 species
UACGGAGGGUGCAAGCAUUAAUCGGAUUUAUUGGGCGUAAAGGGCGCGUAGGCGGAGAUAAUAGUCAGAUGUGAAAUCCUGGGGCUCAACCUCAGAACUGCAUUUGAAACUGUAUCUCUAGAGGAUAGGCGGAGAAAACGGAAUUCCACAAGUAGCGGUGAAAUGCGUAGAUAUGUGGAAGAACACCGGUGGCGAAGGCGGUUUUCUAGCUUAUUCCUAACGCUGAGGCGCGAAAGCAAGGGGAUCAAACAGG